GCCAGAAAGUUGGGCCGGAACAGUGACAGCAGUUAGCGCUUCAUCGGCAAAGGCAAAGUUGCGCUUUGAUGAAGUAAGAGAUCUGAUGAUCAGCGAGGAGAUUCGCAGGAAAGAAUCUCCAUCUACUUCAGGGUCAGGGACUGCACUGAACACGGAAUAUCGAGGAAGAUCGAAAGGAAGGCAGAACAGGGGAAGGUCAAAGUCCAGAGGAAAGAGCCAAUCCAGGACGGAUAA
rnacentral:lncRNA from 1 species